rnacentral:misc_RNA from 1 species
GAUGAAGAACGUAGCAAAAUGCGAUAAGUAGUGUGAAUUGCAGAAUUCAGUGAAUCAUCGAAUCUUUGAACGCACAUUGCGCCCCUUGGUAUUCCAUGGGGCAUGCCUGUUCGAGCGUCAUUACAACCCUCAAGCUCAGCUUGGUGUUGGGCCCCGCCGCCCCGGCGGGCCCUAAAGUCAGUGGCGGUGCCGUCCGGCUCCGAGCGUAGUAAUUCUUCUCGCUCUGGAGGUCCGGUCGUGUGCUCGCCAGCAACCCCCAAUUUUUUUCAGGUUGACCUCGGAUCAGGUAGGGAUACCCGCUGAACUUAAGCAUAUCAAUAAGCGGAGGA